rnacentral:rRNA from 1 species
CGAUGCGGCGACGCGGAGCGAACCCCAGAAACAGCGCCCCAGUUCGGAUUGCAGCCUGCAACUCGGCUGCAUGAAGCUGGAAUCGCUAGUAAUCGCGGAUCAGAAUGCCGCGGUGAAUACGUUCCCGGGUCUUGUACACACCGCCCGUCACACCAUGGGAGUUGGGAAUGCCCGAAGUCAGUGGCCCAACCGUAAGGGGGGANCUGCCGAAGGCAGAUCCGAUGACUGGGGUGAAGUCGUAACAAGGUAAC